GAGGCCUUACCACUGUCAGGACUUCCAGCAGAGACGCAGCUACCUUCUAAGAUCUUGGAAUCAAGCUCAGAAUCAGAGGAAACAAGCAUCCUUGAAACCUCACACUCUGAUCCUGAGGACCCAGAUCAACCCCCCCUGACAAGAACUGAAAGUGUAUUUCUCACCAGAGAAUACCUUGAACAGAUUUCCAAGGCAUCACACGCCUUUGACACCUCUAUAAGCAGUGGUGAUGAAUAUCU